CGGUCUUUACGUUAUUUUUAAGUCCCUACCCCAAGAUGUCAAAAAAAGUCCCUACCCCAAUUCGAAAAUUUAAGUGACGUACGGCUGUGAGUGCGAAGUUUUUGUCCAGAGUUCGUUAUCUUCUUUGGCCAUAACGAUUGACGAUAAGAUCUCAUUAUACAUUCACACACUAUCUUCUUUUUUUUUUUUUUUUUGAUAACUCUGGUAUCUGGGCAGCCACAUUCCCAACUAUCCCCCGAAAGGGGUCCAGCGCCCCAACGGAAGGGAUGUUAAAUCCGUUGUGGCCAAGACUCGAACCCGGGUGGCGGGCAAUACAGCUGUACCUCCUUUACCACCAAGCUACGAGCGCUUGGUUACACACUAUCUUCUUUUUACUCUUCUUCUUUCUGUUUGCUAAACAUUCAUACACUAUCUUGAAUAUAUGUAUAUACAGUAUUGCCUUACAUAGCUAAAUGUCUCUUCAAAUUUUCUGGAUAUUUAAGUUGAUGAUGGAAAAGACUACUGCUCUCCCGUUUUUAUAAGAUGGCGUUCUAAAGGAUUUUUUUUUGUUUUAAAGUAGUUGACGUUUGAAAAAAGUAUAUCUAGAUACAAAAACUGGUCAGACUUUUAACGGUCCAGAUACUUAACCUCUUUUAAUUUUUACUUGGAAAUUAAAUGUCUCUCCACAAUUAAAUUUUUUAUUUGGUAAGCUAUAUCCGAACUUUAUCCAUAGCCAAAAUUUUGAAGACACGUUGUAUACAAUGUGAUACACAGUGUAAUAUUUGUGGAACGGAGGAGAAAUCAAUAAACCAAUAACCUUGGUGUUUUUCCUACAUCUUCCAUAUUUUCGAAUAAUUUUUUUUGUUAUAAAAACUUCCAAAAGGUUAUAAUUUCACCUAUUUUCCAUAGAUUUGUGUUAUAUUUGGAAAAUCGGAUAAUUCUUUUAAAAAGAAAUAGAAA
rnacentral:lncRNA from 1 species